GUCAGUGACCCAUCCCAUUGAAUGGGAUGGGCUUGCGUCAAGGCGUAGGCCCGACACUGACCAGCCUCAGUCUCGCAAGAGACUCCGUUGCAAGCGAAUGUAUAGGUACCGUGGGGUGCGCGGCCAGCUCCACGCUCUACGGGUGACAGUUAAGAGACGGUCGGGCAUCGUCGGUGCUGUUACCACCUCAAGGAAACCGCUUGCAACAUUGGCGAGGCCACCAUCACCCGGCGCUUGCCGG
rnacentral:sRNA from 1 species